AGAAGAAAAUAAAAGCCUGUAAUCUCCAGCCAGCAGACACCGAGCACAUAAACUUCAGGUGCCUCCCGAGGCUCCUGGAAUGUUUUGCUCCCUCCUUAUCUCCACCUCCAGGUGGCAACAUCCCGGGGAUGAGCACAGCUCCUGGGGGAGCACAGAGGCUGCUGUCCCAUCCCUGCUCCGGGCUGGGCUCCCAGGGUGGGCUGCAAUCCCAAACCAUGCAGGCAGCAGCGUUUUUCCCGAUGACAACCCUUGUCCCAGCUCAGCCACUGCCAGUGACAACACAGAGCCUGGCCCCUAAACCCAUCCUGGCAGGAGCAUCCCUGGAAGGGCUUGAAGAGCAUGAAGAAACCAAUUUUCCCCAUCUCCUCAGGCACAGGAAUAAGCUGUACAGACACAGGCACUGUGAUGCUGGAGGAGCAGCAGUCACAAAGGCAACUUGUCCUGACAGAGCUCCACUGAAAGGUGCUGUGUUUGCCCACAGGGUGCACACCCAGCUCUAGUGGGGUCAGUGUGUCCUUUAAAAGAAGAUGGAUUUGUGCAAUACUUUAAAUAGAAAUUUACUCAUCAUUUCUGUGAGCCUUUGGCUGAGACUCCUAUUUUUCUAAGAAAUGAGUGAUCAGAUCAUGGCAGUGCUUUAAGUCAUUCAAAGAGACAACUGGAAACAGGCUGUUCCCUGGAAGGCAGGUACCAGGCAGCUCCCAGACACAUGGACACAAAACUCUUUGCAAAGGCAAGUAGAAAAGUUGGGCAUUCUCAACAGCCCAGUGAACCCUUCCUCACUCACAGCUCCAGCUCCCUAUAUUAUGAGCCUGACAUCUUUAUCAUCAAUAAAACACUUCAGCAAAGUAA